AUUGAACGCUGGCGGCAUGCCUUACACAUGCAAGUCGAACGGUAACAGGUUAAGCUGACGAGUGGCGAACGGGUGAGUAAUGUAUCGGAACGUGCCCAGUCGUGGGGGAUAACUGCUCGAAAGAGCAGCUAAUACCGCAUACGACCUGAGGGUGAACGCGGGGGAUCGCAAGACCUCGCGCGAUUGGAGCGGCCGAUAUCAGAUUAGGUAGUUGGUGGGGUAAAAGCCCCCCAAGCCAAGGAUCGGUAGCUGGUCUGAGAGGACGACCAGCCAGACUGGGACUGAGACACGGCCCAGACUCCUACGGGAGGCAGCAGUGGGGAAUUGUGGACAAUGGCCGCAAGUCUGAUCCAGCCAUGCCGCGUGCGGGAAGAAGGCCUUCGGGUUGUAAACCGCUUUUGUCAGGGAAGAAAAGGUUCUGGUUAAUACCUGGGACUCAUGACGGUACCUGAAGAAUAAGCACCGGCUAACUACGUGCCAGCAGCCGCGGUAAAAC
rnacentral:rRNA from 1 species